AAUCAACGCUGGCGGCGUGCCUCAGACAUGCAAGUCGAACGCGAAAUUUCCCUUCGGGGAGAAAGUAGAGUGGCGCACGGGUGAGUAACACGUAGGUAAUUUGCCUUUGGGUGGGGAAUAACUCAGGGAAACUUGAGCUAAUACCGCAUAAUGCAGCGGCUCGACAUCGAGACAGUUGUUAAAGCGGGGGAUUGGAGCAAUCCGACCUCGCGCCUAAAGAGAAGCCUGCGGCAGAUUAGCUAGUUGGUAAGGUAAUGGCUUACCAAGGCGACGAUCUGUAACCGGCCUGAGAGGGCGGUCGGUCACACUGACACUGACAUACGGGUCAGACUCCUACGGGAGGCAGCAGUCGGGAAUUUUGGGCAAUGGGCG
rnacentral:rRNA from 1 species